UACGAAGGGGGCUAGCGUUGUUCGGAUUUACUGGGCGUAAAGCGCACGUAGGCGGAUUGUUAAGUCAGGGGUGAAAUCCUGGAGCUCAACUCCAGAACUGCCUUUGAUACUGGCAAUCUAGAGUCCGGAAGAGGUGAGUGGAACUCCUAGUGUAGAGGUGGAAUUCGUAGAUAUUAGGAGGAACACCAGAGGCGAAGGCGACUGGCUGGCCAUAUGCUGACACUGAGGCGCGAAGGCGUGGGGAGCAAACCGG
rnacentral:rRNA from 1 species